GCUGGGCUGUGUGCUUCCACCAGUGGAGAGCUCUUGGGAAGCACAAAUGGCUGCGGUUCACAUGACAGCCUUCCAUGUAACAACAGUGAUGGAGAGAGGGAGCUCAUCCAAGUUCAAGCCCUCAUUUCUCCCGGCUCUGCUGAAGAUGCUGACCUGAGCCCGCCAGGCACCACAGUCACCAGCCUGGACUGUGACCCGGCGCCUUUGCAGUGCAGCCCAGCCCAAGCACAGUCCGAGUGCCCCGACAGCAGCACCUCUGUGCAGGAGCAGGUCGGCAUCACCGAUGAGAAGCCGUGCCUCUUGGAGGGGGGCUUAGAAUCAGGCCCUCAGUCCCAGGCACCGUGCAGCGGAUCUGACAGCUCUGAGCCACUCUCUCCGUGACCUUUCCAUCCAAGAGAGGACGAUUCCCACCUUUACCUGGACCUCUCACGCCCUUCUGUCCUUUCCUUUAAUAAUAAAAGCACACUCGUGCUCACUCAACACCUUGAAUGCCUGUGGAGUCUUCAUUCACGAGGACUGGGAUGAAUGCAACAAACAGCAAGGCACCUCAGCUUGCAACGCUGAGGCUGCAGGGUGCAUGAAGCAGAGCUCCAGGCGCAUCCAUUCCUUGAAGGAAUCAGCAGCUGGCUGUUGGUGUUCCUGUUUUCAGCCUGGGAAAACCAUCGUCUGGGUCCAAACGUCAACUGCAGUGCAAUGCCAGGGAGCCUGUAGAAAUGCAAGUCGUAGUGCUGGCAGGACACUCAGGAUGAAACAGCUGUGCUUUGGCUCGAUGAAACUCAGGAUGGGAUUCAGAAGGCUAACAAGGACACUGAAGAGUCACAGAGAUGUAAGCAUUGUGGCAAAUACCGUGGUUCAAUGCCAUUGUCAACCAAAUAUUCGUCACCAAAUGAAAGAAUGCGAGCAAGAAAUGUACACAUGCAAAGGAAAUUAGAAUACAAGUGUUUCC